UUUCAAAGUCAAAAUUUGAGAAAAAAAAUUAAAAAAAAAAAAACAUUUUAACUAUUUUGAAGUCAAACAUCAUCUUUUCACUCAAUUAAUAUAAUGUUGUACCAAAAAACUGCAGUUUUCAAAAUUCUGCUCAAUUAAUUAUCAAAAAUUGAGAGGAAAUACGAAGGUUUGAAUUCACUUUUGGUAGAAUUGCGGAACAUGGGCGUAUAUAUCGAAAAUAGUGGUGAGUAUAGCUCAAAAACUAUAGACGUGAUAGGGAUAAAUCUGUAAACAGUUUUUUAUUCAGCAUAUGACAAAGUUCGAACGAAAUAAAGUGUUUUUUUUAAGGAUGACCCAACUAAUUGCUGUUUGUGUAAAAUGUUUGGGACACAAGAACUUUGAAAAAACUCUAGGUACUCUAAAUGUGAACAAUCCGCGGACAUUAAAGCCAUCAAAAUACAUUUUGUAUUUUUUGCAAGUGAAUGAUAUAAACACGGAAUAUUUGCAAUAAAAGAAGGUGUAUUGCUCAAAUCAAAGUUAAUGAUCCGUACCCGAAUUUAAUAGGUACAGCAAAACAACAAUCAAAAUAAAAUUCCAAUUCUCAUACACUCCAUAUGACUCGCAUUUAUGAAAAUACUGACAACAAUUAACGCUGAAAAAAAAAAAUUAAAUUUCAAUUGCCGAUUUAUGAUCGUCUGGACACGGAAUUUGUUUCCACGCCAUUGAAAACAAACAGAAAGCAGCUUCUACCGCCAUGCCACCACCACCGGGAAACAACCGGGAAAUACGCAAACGUGGGUGCGUCGAAUUUCACAAAUGCGAGAAAAUAAACAAAGCAGAGAAAUCUUCAAUGAAUCUUUAUGAAAAAGCAGAGGACGCAGUAAAUUGAACGAAAAAAAAGCUUAUAAUCAUAAUAUGUAGGUUCGAAAAGGAAUAAAAAAAUUAAAAAAAAAAAUGGAAUCUCAAUCUCACACAGUUUGGAAGUUGCACGUCAUUGAGUAUCCAACUCGGUCGUCGAUUAAAAAAGAAAUGCUCCCAAACCAAAGUAUCUCUGGCUACGAACUAUAUUUGUUUAUUUGCGCACAAACCAUCGCUACGAGAAUUAUAAAAACAAUCGAGAUUUAUCGUCCAGAGCAAGCUGGUCUAUUGACUGGAUCAGGGAUGAAAAUGCCAAGUAAAUUAGUAUUGUUGAUAAUUAGAAACAGCAUCUUAUAGUACUUUAUUUUGUUCUUUAUUAUAUUCAGGAUCUAUUUGGUAUAAGAGCAGGCAGUAGAUUUCUUGCGCACUUUUGAUUAAACAGAAAAUAAAAAAAAAAAUACAAAUAUGAUUAGAGCAUAG